GUAAUCUGCCCUCUGAUGGGGAAUAACCCGCCGAAAGGCGGGCUAAUUCCGCAUAACAUUCCUUGGACUCCGGUUCGAGGAUUCAAAGGCGUAAGUCGUCGGAGGUGGAGCCCGCGCACGAUUAGCUAGUUGGUGAGGUAAUGGCUCACCAAGGCUUUGAUCGUUAGCUGGUCUGAGAGGAUGGCCAGCCACACUGGAACUGAGACACGGUCCAGACUCCUACGGGAGGCAGCAGUGGGGAAUCUUGCACAAUGGGCGAAAGCCUGAUGCAGCGACGCCGCGUGGGGGAUGAAGCUUCUCGGAGUGUAAACCCCUUUCGACCGGGACGAAUACCUCGCAAGAGGGGUGACGGUACCGGUAUAAGAAGCCCCGGCUAACUACGUGCCAGCAGCCGCGGUAAGACGUGGGGGGCCAGCGUUGCUCGGAAUUACUGGGUGUAAAGGGUUCGUAGGCGGUGUGGCAAGUCGGGAGUGAAAUCUCUGGGCUUAACCCAGGGGCUGCUUCCGAAACUGCCGUGCUAGAGUGUGGGAGAGGCGCGUGGAAUUGCAGGUGUAGCGGUGAAAUGCGUAGAUAUCUGCAGGAACACCCGUGGCGAAAGCGGCGCGCUGGACCACUACUGACGCUGAGGAACGAAAGCUAGGGGAGCAAACAGGAUUAGAUACCCUGGUAGUCCUAGCCCUAAACGAUCAGGACUUGGGGUGCCACCCGUUCGGGUGUCGUCCCGGAGCUAACGCGUUAAGUCCUGCACCUGGGGAGUACGGUCGCAAGACUGAAACUCAAAUGAAUUGACGG
rnacentral:rRNA from 1 species